UAGUGGGUGCCGGGAACAGAACUCAGGUCUUCUGGAAGAACCGCACAGGCUCUUACGCACUGAUCCACCUCUCCAGUCUCUGGUUUUGUUUUAAAGCAAUGUCUCAUUUAGCUUAAUUUAGCAAUCUGCUUCCUGUAUUUGGGGCUCCUACACUUGUGGUCUGAGGAACUCCCCUUCAAUCUGGAGUGGCAGUGCCCAAGACUGGUGAAGGAAGGGGAAAAACAGGAGGCGUGCCCAGAAGGGAAGCAAAGACUGCUUUUAGGAUCAGUCCUGAGGAGGGAGUGAAAGAGGCCCAAGAAGCUGGGGAGGAUGUGGGUCACACUGCUUGGUACGGGAGACCUCAGCCUGUACAGGGAGAGCCUCAGCCUGUACCGGGAGAGCACGGGAGUUCUGUGUAAGUUAACUGUGGGGAAGGACAGCUGUGUGAGGGCGCCCUUUGUGGUUAAACAGCCUUGAAGCUGUAGUUAGCAAAGCUGUAGAUCACGGAAGCUAAAGCAUCGGGGCCUUCUCCCACAUAUGUGCCCUGACCAAUGGUCUGUACCCCGCAAAGAUUCAACAUCAUUACACUAUCAUGACACCCCUCCUCUUUUAUGAACCUUUCUAGAGGGCCAUGGGAACUAAUCCCCUGAAAAAGAGGCCCAGUCCACUAUGAUAUGAGAGGGAAAAGGGACCCUAUGAAUAUGUCGCCUACUUCAUAAAUAUUCAUUAAAAUCUUCUUUAAAAUCCACAACUCAGUACGCACCAGGCUGCUCCCCACCAAUCUCUCUUUGGAAGAUAUGCUUUUGUUUAACUUUGUCAAACAAAUUGCUUAAUCUAUCUGUGUCUCUUGACUGAAUUCUUUCCUCUAGGAAGACAAAAACCCCGAGAGACCUCCACUACAAGGCCACUUAUGUAUGAUCAUACAUGUCCUCACGUUCUUCCUGAAUCCAUUUACAAAUUACUUUGUCAGGAAGACUAAGAAUCUGCAAGAAGAAUCCCGUGUCUCCUCCGACAAUUGUUGAUGAAUGCAUUUUGAGUCCCCUGUGACAACUGUUGAUUAACACAUUUUGUAUUCUAUGCUUGGGGAGCAAAGUAUUCUGGGAAGAGCAAACCCUUUUGAAGAAAUGGGUUUAUGAUGCGAUCAAAGGGCUGGGAGGAACAACAAACGGCGGCGGCAAAUCAAAAUAUUGGAAAGCAAAGACCAUGUAGGGCUGGGGAUGUGGCUCAGUCGGUGGAGUGCUUGCCCAGUAUGCAUGGAGCCCUGGGUUCGAGCCCCAGCACUUCAUAGAACUGGACAUGGAGAUGCACACCUAGAAUCCCAGCACGUCAGAGGUGGAGGCAGGUGAAUCAGUUCCGGGUCAUGGGUCAUGCUUGGCUACAUGUCACGUGUGAACUUUAGGCAAGCUUCAGCUAGUGACACUUUGUCUCAAAACAACAACUAUAAAACCUUAGGGACACUGCUGGUUUUUACAAAGACCGCUGAGAAACUUCGGAAGGAGUUCAUCCAGGAGACAGAAAGCUCAACUCUAAAGGGUUAAAAACCACGCACCAAAGUUAAGCUACUGAGUGUUUUUGCCUUGACUUUCAUUAUUUCCUUCCCUCCGCUGACUUUGAGCUUAGUCUGCACUCUUUUUCUAGUUUCUUGUUGUAUGGAGUAUAAAGUUAGGUUGUUCA